GCACAAGCGGUGGAGCAUGUGGUUUAAUUCGAUGUUACGCGAAAACCUUACCCGGGCUUGACAUGCAGGUAGUAGGGAACCGAGAGGGGACCGACUCUUCGGAGAGCCUGCACAGGUGCUGCAUGGCUGUCGUCAGCUCGUGCCGUGAGGUGUCCGGUUAAGUCCGGUAACGAGCGCAACCCUCGCCAUAUGUUACAAGUGUCAUAUGGGACUGCCGAUAUAAAGUCGGAGGAAGGUGGGGAUGACGUCAAGUCAGCAUGGCCUUUAUGUCCGGGGCUACACACACGCUACAAUGGCCGGUACAAUAGGUAGCAAGACCGCGAGGUGGAGCCAAUCCUAAAAGCCGGUCUCAGUUCAGAUUGCAGGCUGCAACUCGCCUGCAUGAAGUCGGAGUUGCUAGUAACCGCGCGUCAGCAAUAGUGCGGUCGAAUACGUUCCCGGGCCUU
rnacentral:rRNA from 1 species